AGGUUGAACGCUGGCGGCAGGCCUAACACAUGCAAGUCGAGCGGUAGAGAGGUGCUUGCACCUCUUGAGAGCGGCGGACGGGUGAGUAAUGCCUAGGAAUCUGCCUAGUGGUGGGGGAUAACGUUCGGAAACGGACGCUAAUACCGCAUACGUCCUACGGGAGAAAGCGGGGGACCUUCGGGCCUCGCGCCAUUAGAUGAGCCUAGGUCGGAUUAGCUAGUUGGUGAGGUAAUGGCUCACCAAGGCGACGAUCCGUAACUGGUCUGAGAGGAUGAUCAGUCACACUGGAACUGAGACGACGGUCCAGACCUCCGUACGGGAGGCAGCA
rnacentral:rRNA from 1 species